rnacentral:rRNA from 1 species
UACGAAGGGAGCUAGCGUUGUUCGGAAUCACUGGGCGUAAAGCGCACGUAGGCGGAUGUGUCAGUCAGGGGUGAAAUCCCGGAGCUCAACUUCGGAACUGCCUUUGAUACAGCACGUCUUGAGUCCGGAAGAGGUGGGUGGAAUUCCUAGUGUAGAGGUGAAAUUCGUAGAUAUUAGGAAGAACACCGGUGGCGAAGGCGGCCCACUGGGCCGAUACUGACGCUGAGGAGCGAAAGCGUGGGGAGCAAACAGG